AUUGAACGCUGGCGGCAGGCCUAACACAUGCAAGUCGAACGGUAACAGGAAGCAGCUUGCUGCUUUGCUGACGAGUGGCGGACGGGUGAGUAAUGUCUGGGAAACUGCCCGAUGGAGGGGGAUAACUACUGGAAACGGUAGCUAAUACCGCAUAAUGUCGCAAGACCAAAGAGGGGGACCUUCGGGCCUCUUGCCAUCGGAUGUGCCCAGAUGGGAUUAGCUUGUUGGUGAGGUAACGGCUCACCAAGGCGACGAUCCCUAGCUGGUCUGAGAGGAUGACCAGCCACACUGGAACUGAGACACGGUCCAGACUCCUACGGGAGGCAGCAGUGGGGAAUAUUGCACAAUGGGCGCAAGCCUGAUGCAGCCAUGCCGCGUGUAUGAAGAAGGCCUUCGGGUUGUAAAGUACUUUCAGCGGGGAGGAAGGGGGUAAGGUUAAUAACCUUAGCCAUUGACGUUACCCGCAGAAGAAGCACCGGCUAACUCCGUGCCAGCAGCCGCGGUAAUACGGAGGGUGCAAGCGUUAAUCGGAAUUACUGGGCGUAAAGCGCACGCAGGCGGUCUGUCAAGUCGGAUGUGAAAUCCCCGGGCUCAACCUGGGAACUGCAUUCGAAACUGGCAGGCUUGAGUCUCGUAGAGGGGGGUAGAAUUCCAGGUGUAGCGGUGAAAUGCGUAGAGAUCUGGAGGAAUACCGGUGGCGAAGGCGGCCCCCUGGACGAAGACUGACGCUCAGGUGCGAAAGCGUGGGGAGCAAACAGGAUUAGAUACCCUGGUAGUCCACGCCGUAAACGAUGUCUAUUUGGAGGUUGUGCCCUUGAGGCGUGGCUUCCGGAGCUAACGCGUUAAAUAGACCGCCUGGGGAGUACGGCCGCAAGGUUAAAACUCAAAUGAAUUGACGGGGGCCCGCACAAGCGGUGGAGCAUGUGGUUUAAUUCGAUGCAACGCGAAGAACCUUACCUGGUCUUGACAUCCACAGAAUUUCUCAGAGAUGAGGAAGUGCCUUCGGGAACUGUGAGACAGGUGCUGCAUGGCUGUCGUCAGCUCGUGUUGUGAAAUGUUGGGUUAAGUCCCGCAACGAGCGCAACCCUUAUCCUUUGUUGCCAGCGAUUCGGUCGGGAACUCAAAGGAGACUGCCAGUGAUAAGCUGGAGGAAGGUGGGGAUGACGUCAAGUCAUCAUGGCCCUUACGACCAGGGCUACACACGUGCUACAAUGGCAUAUACAAAGAGAAGCGACCUCGCGAGAGCAAGCGGACCUCAUAAAGUAUGUCGUAGUCCGGAUUGGAGUCUGCAACUCGACUCCAUGAAGUCGGAAUCGCUAGUAAUCGUGGAUCAGAAUGCCACGGUGAAUACGUUCCCGGGCCUUGUACACACCGCCCGUCACACCAUGGGAGUGGGUUGCAAAAGAAGUAGGUAGCUUAACCUUCGGGAGGGCGCUUACCACUUUGUGAUUCAUGACUGGGGUGA
rnacentral:rRNA from 1 species